rnacentral:rRNA from 1 species
ACGGGUGAGUAACACGUAGGCAACCUGCCCUCAAGACUGGGAUAACUACCGGAAACGGUAGCUAAUACCGGAUAAUUUCUUUCCUCUCCUGAAGAGAGAAUGAAAGGCGGAGCAAUCUGCUACUUGGGGAUGGGCCUGCGGCGCAUUAGCUAGUUGGUGGGGUAACGGCCCACCAAGGCGACGAUGCGUAGCCGACCUGAGAGGGUGAACGGCCACACUGGGACUGAGACACGGCCCAGACUCCUACGGGAGGCAGCAGUAGGGAAUCUUCCGCAAUGGGCGCAAGCCUGACGGAGCAAUGCCGCGUGAGUGAUGAAGGUUUUCGGAUCGUAAAGCUCUGUUGCCAGGGAAGAACGUCCGGUAGAGUAACUGCUGCCGGAGUGACGGUACCUGAGAAGAAAGCCCCGGCUAACUACGUGCCAGCAGCCGCGGUAAUACGUAGGGGGCAAGCGUUGUCCGGAAUUAUUGGGCGUAAAGCGCGCGCAGGCGGUCAUUUAAGUCUGGUGUUUAAACCUUGGGCUCAACCUGAGGUCGCACUGGAAACUGGGUGACUUGAGUACAGAAGAGGAAAGUGGAA